GGGCCGGUAGUCUAGCCAGGAUAAGACGUAGGCCUCCGGAGCCUAAGAUCGCGGGUUCGAAUCCCGCCCGGCCCGCCA
rnacentral:tRNA from 1 species